rnacentral:rRNA from 1 species
AGAGUUUGAUCCUGGCUCAGGACGAACGCUGGCGGCGUGCUUAACACAUGCAAGUCGAGCGGUAAGGCUCCUUCGGGGGUACACGAGCGGCGAACGGGUGAGUAACACGUGAGUAAUCUGCCCUUCACUUUGGGAUAAGCUUCGGAAACGGGGUCUAAUACCGGAUACGACCACCGAUUGCAUGAUCUGGUGGUGGAAACUUUUUUGGGUGGGGGAUGUGCUCGCGGCCUAUCAGCUUGUUGGUGGGGUAAUGGCCUACCAAGGCUUCGACGGGUAGCCGGCCUGAGAGGGUGACCGGCCACACUGGGACUGAGACACGGCCCAGACUCCUACGGGAGGCAGCAGUGGGGAAUAUUGGACAAUGGGCGGAAGCCUGAUCCAGCAACGCCGCGUGAGGGAUGACGGCCUUUGGGUUGUAAACCUCUUUCAUUACCGACGAAGGCUCAGCUUUUUGGUUGGGUUGACGGUAGGUGGAGAAGAAGCACCGGCCAACUACGUGCCAGCAGCGGCGGUAAUUC